ensembl:lncRNA
AAUGUUGUAUACAUAAUAAAUAAAUAAAAUCUUUUUUUAAAAGUUUGUUAAAAAUUAUGCCUGCGCCGGGUGUUGGUGGGGCACGCCUUUAAUCCCAGCACUCAGGAGGCAGAGGCAGGCGGAUCUCUGAGUUUGAGGCCAGCCUGGUCUCCAGAGCGAGGGCCAGGAUAAGCUCCAAAGCUACACAGAGAAACCCUGUCUGGAAAAAAAAAAUAUAUACCUGCAAGAUCAUUUGUUUUGCUUUUCUGCCUGAGUCAGAAAGCAACCACUUUAACUCUUCCCAUCUCCUUAAUAAAGGCUGUCUCUGGGAAACAGGUAUUUGUGUGUGGUUUGUGCCUAAUCUGGGGUCCAGGAGGGUGCCUCCACUGUGUGGUGGGGAGAGAAUCACCUUUAUUUUUCUUCAUAGACGUCCUUGAAUCUCACUGUUUUCUCUGAUACCAAACUUACUAUACUCCCACUUCAGCCUCUUGAGUCCAAAGACAUAUAGGUAUAAGCUAUUAUACCCAGCCUUUUCUAUUCUUGUUAGUUUGUUUUUAGACAGGGUCUCACUAUACAUAACUGGCUGGCCUGGAACUCACCAAGUAGACCAGUCUGCCCUGAACACACAGAAAUAUGCCUGCCUCUGCCUCCAAAGUGCUGGGAUUAAAGGCAUGUGCCACCAACCAGAACACCUUUUUCUAGUCUUAAUAGUAAUUUCCUCAGAUCAAAAGGGUUUGUGUGGAUUAGUUUUUCAUAAUUUUUUCUCUCUUAUGAAUAUGUUAGUCUGCUUAUGUUCACCAUAACAAAAUACCACGGACAGAUAGAUGACUUAAACACAACAGAAAUUUGUGUUCUUAGUUUUAGUGGCUAGAAAUCCAGAAUUAAGUUUUACAAGUUUGGUUUCUGGUGGCCUCUCUCUUUCUCUCUCCCUUCCUCCCUCCCUCCCUCUCUCUCUCUCUCUCCUGGCUUUCGGACAGCUGCCUGCUCCCUGUGUCCUCACAUGACCCUUCAUUUGUACUCAGAAGGAGGAGGGGAAGAAGACAGAGGAAGAGAGCACUCUCUGUCUUCCUGUAAGAACACUAGUCCCUUCAGCUACCUUGUGGCUUCAUUAGCCUUAAUUACUUAUAAACCCAUCUACAGAAAGAGUCACACAAGGGAUUAGGGUUUCAAAAUAUAAAUCUUACAAACACCUAUAAUAACAAUUCAAUCACAAACAGGCAAGAGUUUUGUCAUUUUGGCAAAGAAGACACACACAUGAGUAAUUAGCUCAUUAACGCUCAGAACUGCUAACCUUUAAAGGACUAUAGCCCAAGUCACAUUGAGAUGCCACCACCUCGUGUCCAUUAGGAUUGCCUGUAUGAAAAAGAGAAAAAAACAGAAACUGAAGCACUGUGGGGAUGAGAAGAAAUGGAAACCUCUCUGCACUGUUGAGAAUAGCAACUGCUGUGGACACCAGGAGGCAGUGCCUGUGUUAAAGGAAGCCAUCUUCUACAGUAAGAACAGCUCUGCUCCUAAGUACAGAUGGCCUCCAUCUUAGCACUUCUAAUUACAUUUUUAAAAAAUUUUCACAGUGAUUCAAUAGGAACUGUACUUUGUAUGCAGUAGUGAUAGUGUGUGUAUAUGUAUAUGUUAGGGUGUGUGCAUGCCGUACCCAUGAGCCCCUGAAACUACACUUUGAAUUUGAAUUUGGCUCUUGUCUUGGGCUAAACAUGCAUGGAAUAAUACUCUCUUGCAAUGCUGGGAGGAGGCAGAAAUCUGUAUUCUUUAGUAAGCUACAGAAUCAUGAAGAUAAACAACACUUUACAGAAGCCCUGCGGUGCCAUGCACCUUUAAUCCCAGCACUCAAGAGGCAGAGGCAGGGGAAUCUCUGAGUUCUAGGACAGCCAGGACUAUAAGAGAAACUCUGUCUCAUAAAACAAACAAAAAAUCACUAUACCACAGUGGAGUGUAUCUAACAAAGUAUAUGAGAUACUUGCCACCUUAUUCUAUUGUUUGAUUUGAUGAUUUACUCCUGUCAGUUAAUGUACCUAUUCUGAAGCAAAUUUCAAGUAGGGUAGGGCCAGUGAGAUGGAUCAACAGAUAAGGGUACUUGAUGCCAAGAAUGAUUAUCUGAGUUCUAUCCCCAGUUCCCAUUUGGUAGAAGGAGAGAACCAACUCCUUCAAGUCGGCCUCUAACCUGUGGUAUACAUGUGCCCACACCAAUAUAUAGAUACACACAACAAAUGAAUUUAAAGUGUUUGAUACAUUGUUAUGUAGACUAGACUAAGAUAUGGUGUUUGGUAGGUUACAAAUAUUAACAAGUAUUAAGUUGUUGAUCUUGACAUAGAGUAUUUCAACUUAAUAUGGGUUUUCCAGGACAUAACCACAAGCCAAUGAACAUCAGUAUGUACCCAAAGGAACUGAAAGCAAGGGCUAAAAUAGUUACUUCUACAACAUGCCUAUAACAGCACUACUUACAGAGUAGAGAUGGUGGAUACAAUACAAAUGACCAUUGUGGUGAUAUAUUAUCUAUGAUUUAUUGAAGCUUACCUGAGGGGACAGAAAGCAAAGCUAGCCACAAGCCACAGAGCUAGGAAUACACACACCUUUAAUCCCAGGACAAGAGAUAAGCAGAUGAAACUCAUGACAACCCUGAGCUACAUGAAAUUGAUCCAGUCCUAAAGAGAAACAGAGCUCACACAAAGUUGAUCUCAGCACUUGGGAUCACACACCUUUAAUCCCAGCACUAGGGAGUUAUAAAAGGAAAAGGAAAAUGACUUUAAUAGAGAUUUAUUCUCCAGCCAUGCUGAGGACAGGGCAGUCCUUUCACCCUGAGGGAGAGGUAAGAGUUAAUGGCUGGAUGCUUUGCUUCUCUGAUCCUCAGUUUGAACCCCAAUAUCAACCUCUGGGUUAUUCGAGUUACAGACCAUCAACACAUAAAUAGAUUAUUUUGCUCUUGUUUUUUCAAGACAAGGUUUCUCUGUGUAUUCCUGGAUGUCCUGGAACUUGCUGUAUAGACUAGGGUGGCCUUGAACUCAGGGGGCAGGCCUGCCCCUGCCUCCCCAGUGCUGAAAUUAAAGAUGUGUGACACCAUCACCUGGCUAUAAAUAGAGUUUUGUUGUUGUUGUUUAAGACAGGGUUUCUCUGUGUUGCUCUGACUGUCCUGGAACUCAUUCUGUAGACUGGGCUGGCCUCAAACUCACAGAGCUCUGCCUGCCUCUGCCUCCCAAGUGCUGGGAUCAAAGCCUGCACCACCAUUGCCCAGCUUAGUUUUUAAAAGUGACACAUACAUUUCAUGGUGUGUCAUUGACCCUUAAAAGGAAUGAAAUUCUGACACAUCCUACAGUUAUGAAAACAUGCUAAGUGAAAUAAGCUAGAUAUAAACAAAUAAACAUUGUAUGUGAUGGGGGAAGUCCUUCUGUAUAUGUUUGUCUUAUUGGUUGAUAAAUAAAGCAUUGUUGGCCAAUAGGAAAGCAAGAUAUGUGGGGCUAGGAGUCCAGGAGGAUUCUGGGAAAUGUAGUAAAGACAGGAGUUGUCACGUGAUCGCCAGGAAGAAAGGACGCAUAAGGCUGGUGUCCUCAAUAAGGACCCAAGCAAGUGACUUCUUUGUUUUCGGUAACUGAGUGCAAUUAUUCAACCUCUUCAGUCUCCUACACAGCCUUCCAGGAACUUUAUACUGACAGAAACCCUAAAUGCAGAAACUGCUGAAAGGGCACAGAAGUUUGGGGAAAACGUUUGGUUUUUUUGUUUUUUGUUGUUGUUGUUUUGCGGCACCCCCACCCCCACCUCCACCCCUUCCACCUUCCUAGGCCUGGAGUUAGAGCUUCUCUUGCUCUCAUGCACCGGUCUGUAGUCUCCUCCUCUGGCUUAUGGACUGGACAGAAGUGGCAACCUCCUCCUGUGCUCGCUGAAGCACAGGGCCCGCACCUGGGGUGAGUGCACGGGGCUGCUGGGAAGCGGC